AAGGAGAGAGAGGGUGAUAAUGUCACAAUUCCAGCACUUGUGACCGGGUAUGUAACUCCAUUUGCAUUUGCAAUGCAAAUCCUACAUGGUGGGGUUGAAAAGGAGAAGUCCGUGGGAUCAAAAGUCAUAUGGUCUGUUGCCCUAGAGUCAAUAAUCCAUGCACUUGCAUCCUGAGAAUUAGAACUACAAAAAAACUUGACCGCAAUUACCUGGUUCCAUUGAGACAGAGGAGCUAGUCAUAAGAACAAGCGACAAUCGAGACUCGGCAGUGACUACCGCAGCUUUACC
rnacentral:lncRNA from 1 species